rnacentral:rRNA from 1 species
AUAGAGGCCUACCAUGGUGGUAACGGGUAACGGGGUGUUAGGGCACGACACCGGAGAGGGAGCCUGAGAAACGGCUACCACAUCCAAGGAUGGCAGCAGGCGCGCAAAUUACCCAAUCCCGACACGGGGAGGUAGUGACAAUAAAUAACAAUACGGGGUUCUUUAGGAUCUCGUAAUUGGAAUGAGUACAAUUUAAAUCUCUUAACGAGGAACAAUUGGAGGGCAAGUCUGGUGCCAGCAGCCGCGGUAAUUCCAGCUCCAAUAGCGUAUAUUAAAGUUGUUGCAGUUAAAAAGCUCGUAGUUGAAUUUCGGGGUUAGUAGGUUGGUCAUGCCUCUGGUAUGUACUGGUCUCACUGAUUCCUCCUUCCUUAUGAACCGUAAUGCCAUUAAUUUGGUGUUGCGGGGAAUUUGGACUGUUACUUUGAAAAAAUUAGAGUGUUUAAAGCAAGCUAACGCUUGAAUACAUUAGCAUGGAAUAAUGAAAUAGGACGUUCGAUCUUAUUUUGUUGGUUUCUAGGAUUGACGUAAUGAUUAAUAGGGAUAGUUGGGGGCAUUAGUAUUCAAUUGUCAGAGGUGAAAUUCUUGGAUUUAUUGAAGACUAACUACUGCGAAAGCAUUUGCCAAGGAUGUUUUCAUUAAUCAAGAACGAAAGUUAGGGGAUCGAAGACGAUCAGAUACCGUCGUAGUCUUAACCAUAAACUAUGCCGACUAGGGAUCGGAUGA